rnacentral:rRNA from 1 species
UACGUAGGGUCCGAGCGUUGUCCGGAAUUAUUGGGCGUAAAGGGCUCGUAGGCGGUCCGUCGCGUCGGGAGUGAAAACUCAGGGCUUAACCCUGAGCCUGCUUCCGAUACGGGCAGACUAGAGGUAUGCAGGGGAGAACGGAAUUCCUGGUGUAGCGGUGAAAUGCGCAGAUAUCAGGAGGAACACCGGUGGCGAAGGCGGUUCUCUGGGCAUUACCUGACGCUGAGGAGCGAAAGUGUGGGGAGCGAACAGG